rnacentral:SRP_RNA from 1 species
GCUGGGUGUGGUGGCGCGUGCCUGUAGUCCCAGCUACUUGGGAGGCUGAGGCAGGAGAAUCACUUGAACCCAGGAGGUGGAGGUUGCAGUGAGUUGAGAUCACGCCACUGCACUCCAGCCUGGGUGACAGAGUGAGACUCUAUCUCAA